rnacentral:lncRNA from 1 species
GAUGCUAGAGUAGAACAGCUCUGGACCUUGUUAAUGUAACUGCUGGCAGCUUUCCUGUAAGGAUCCCCAUUCAGGUGGUCUCUGAGAGGCCCUGCCUGGAAGAAGAGCAGGUUACAGCAAGAUGGGGAAUGGAGCAGUGUGCAGCUGCCACCAGCCAGGCGGAGACUUUAGGAUUCACUUCUGGACAGGGACAGGGAAGACAUUUUCCUUUCAAUGCCUCGAGGCCCUUCAGCAACUGUAGGAGCGGGCGUGGUGUUGUCGCUACUGUCAGAUCCUGGACCGGGCAGCCGACUUUUUCUUGACUUGGACAUCAGCAGUGGAAGCAAGGGAAGUUUCAAGACACACAGUAAAGUUUGCUUCAGUCCAGGGAUCACAGUGCACAAAACCCGAGCAUACUUCUCUCUGAGCUCUCCGUGAUGUUGAAAAAGUGGCUGUCACGGUGGAAGGAGCAUGUCUGUUUGGGACUGUGAGUCACAUAGAAGCCACUCUGGAAGAGAAGCUUCUUCAAAGAUGACCAAAUGCUUACCCUGUCUUGUGCCCAGCUCAGUGUACAGAGAAAUAACUACACUGAG